rnacentral:rRNA from 1 species
AGAGUUUGAUCCUGGCUCAGGACGAACGCUGGCGGCACGCUUAACACAUGCAAGUCGAACGAGAGAAGAGAAGCUUGCUUUUCUGAUCUAGUGGCGGACGGGUGAGUAACACGUGAGCAAUCUGCCUUUCAGAGGGGGAUACCGAUUGGAAACGAUCGUUAAUACCGCAUAACAUAAUUGAACCGCAUGAUUUGAUUAUCAAAGAUUUAUCGCUGAAAGAUGAGCUCGCGUCUGAUUAGCUAGUUGGUAAGGUAACGGCUUACCAAGGCGACGAUCAGUAGCCGGACUGAGAGGUUGAUCGGCCACAUUGGGACUGAGACACGGCCCAGACUCCUACGGGAGGCAGCAGUGGGGAAUAUUGCACAAUGGAGGAAACUCUGAUGCAGCGAUGCCGCGUGAGGGAAGAAGGUUUUAGGAUUGUAAACCUCUGUCUUCAGGGACGAAAAAAAAGACGGUACCUGAGGAGGAAGCUCCGGCUAACUACGUGCCAGCAGCCGCGGUAAUACGUAGGGAGCGAGCGUUGUCCGGAAUUACUGGGUGUAAAGGGUGCGUAGGCGGCUGUGUAAGUCAGAUGUGAAAUACCGGGGCUUAACCUCGGGGCUGCAUCUGAUACUGCAUAGCUUGAGUGCAGGAGAGGAAAGCGGAAUUCCUAGUGUAGCGGUGAAAUGCGUAGAUAUUAGGAGGAACACCAGUGGCGAAGGCGGCUUUCUGGACUGUAACUGACGCUGAGGCACGAAAGCGUGGGGAGCAAACAGGAUUAGAUACCCUGGUAGUCCACGCCGUAAACGAUGGAUACUAGGUGUAGGGGUCAAAAGGCCUCUGUGCCGGAGCAAACGCAUUAAGUAUCCCGCCUGGGGAGUACGGCCGCAAGGCUGAAACUCAAAGGAAUUGACGGGGGCCCGCACAAGCAGCGGAGCAUGUGGUUUAAUUCGAAGCAACGCGAAGAACCUUACCAAGGCUUGACAUCCUCUGACGAACAUAGAGAUAUGUUUUUCCUACGGGACAGAGAGACAGGUGGUGCAUGGUUGUCGUCAGCUCGUGUCGUGAGAUGUUGGGUUAA